UCAUGUAGAAAGAAGGAUUCUGCCUAGCAGACGGAAUCCUGAAGAAGAAUCGCAGCACUUCCUGGGCGGACUCAACACUUCUGGUUCAUUCGUUACAACAGCUGUAAGAGGAGGCAGUGUUUCUCCCCUUGCAGGGAGGAAGAAAAAGAAGAAAUCAGAAAAGAAAUGGUGUCAGCGAGUCCAUCCAAGUCCCUUCGCUUCCGUCUCAAAUGCAAGGGACUUAUUGAGGCCCUGUGAGGCUCUACAAGGUGAAGAACAAAGCAGACAAGGCCCUUCCUUGCCCUUGGGGAACA